AAUAUCUCCUUUCAUCCAAGUGGCACAUUAUUUUCAAAAAAAUUUCCCCCUCUUACUUCUCUUUACCCGGAUAAAGCUAUUAUUCAACCUUUUCAUUUUCCACUCACAGUCUGUCUCACUCAUUCCCACACUUUCCCCUAUUCUCUCUUUCUCUCCCAGUUUUCUUUCUUAUCUUUCUUUUUUCCCUCAAACCCUAACAACUUCGUCACUUUCUUUUUUCCUCAUAUCUAUGGCCACCACCGCCUCCUAUGAAAAAACCAAUUUCAUAUUCGUAUUACUCAUCUCACGGGCUUCCUAAUAAACCAGAUACAUUUUUGUUUCGAUGGGUUUCAAAAAGUAGCGUCGGAGGGUGGUGGACGAAAGAAAAUCGUGGCCGGUUUUGUCGGCAUAUUUAGCUAUUUCGGUGAGAAACCUGAUUUUUGAUGUUCAUCAUACCGAAAAAGUUUAAGAUCUAUCAAUCAUCUAAGUGCAAAUUUCUCAGGCUGAAGUGAAGAAAUUUUUUGAAUCAUCUUGUGGCAAGGUUACACGCUUGAGGCUUUUGGGGGACCAAGUGCAUUCAAGUCGAGUUGCUUUGGUGGAAUUUGCGGUGAUAAGUUCUGCAGCGUUAACCGAGUUAAAUUUGGUAAAAUAAACUCAGCAUAUUCAUGGUUUCAACUAUUUGCGAGAGAUGAAGCUUGAAGAUUAGAGAAGUAUGAAGCUUGACCAUAGGUUUCAACGUGACUAAAAGAUGACGGAUGAAGAUGAAGCUUGAAGAUUAGAGAAGUAUGUCUAGAGUCAAUGUUAGAAUUAGGUCCUCUGUAACUUUGAAAUUAGCUUGUAUCGAUUCUUGCAUUGUCUUUGUAGUCUAAGAAAAUUGAAGUAAUGACAUUAGUUGAAAAAUCAACUAUGUCUUCCUCUUGAUGCUUACUGUACAUAAGGGCCACUUGAUAUUGAACUCGGUAUACUCACUGUAUUAUCCCGGAUGGUAAAGUGGAUACUUAGUUUAUACUUAGUUUUUUGUUGUGUGAUACGUUAACUACUAUAAGUUCAAUGCCCUUGUAUAUCAGUAUUACUGAAAAUUCUGCAUCAUUUUUGGCAGACGAACUUGCUGGCUUUGAAUAGUAUAUCAGUAUUACUGAAAAUUUUGCAUUGUGGAUGAUUACUUUUAUGUAGGCAUUCAUCAAUAUUAUUCAACUACCACAUAUUUUCUUACAUCUAUUGUAUGGUUGCGAAUUCAUUAUCAUGUUAUGGUAUUCUUUAUGCUGUAUAAAACACUAUAAAGUUCAUUAGUGUGAUAUUCCUAUCUUAUGCUCUAUAUUAUUGAAUAUUUGGAAGUAAGGAAACAGUGUUAGAGAUGUACCAUGCAUUGGUAAAGAGAGUGUGGCUUAGUAUGCCCGUUGUGUUUGCAGUUUUUUAACCAAUGACUGUUAGUGCAGUUAAUUGUAUGUUAAGUGAUAAGUUAUAAUUAGUGAAUAAUAAUAUCUCAUAAGAUUUGUUUUACCAAAUUUAUUUUCAAAUUUCCUGCCUCAU